rnacentral:rRNA from 2 species
ACGGAAGGCAGCAGUGGGGAAUAUUGCACAAUGGGCGAAAGCCUGAUGCAGCGACGCCGCGUGAGUGAAGAAGUAUCUCGGUAUGUAAAGCUCUAUCAGCAGGGAAGAAAAUGACGGUACCUGACUAAGAAGCCCCGGCUAACUACGUGCCAGCAGCCGCGGCAAUACGUAGGGGGCAAGCGUUAUCCGGAUUUACUGGGUGUAAAGGGAGCGUAGACGGUUUGGCAAGUCUGAAGUGAAAUGCGGGGGCUCAACUCCUGAACUGCUUUGGAAACUGUCGAACUAGAGUGCAGGAGAGGUAAGUGGAAUUCCUAGUGUAGCGGUGAAAUGCGUAGAUAUUAGGAGGAACACCAGUGGCGAAGGCGGCUUACUGGACUGUAACUGACGUUGAGGCUCGAAAGCGUGGGGAGCAAACAGGAUUAGAUACCCUGGUA